AUUGAACGCUGGCGGCAUGCUUUACACAUGCAAGUCGAACGGCAGCGCGGGCUUCGGCCUGGCGGCGAGUGGCGAACGGGUGAGUAAUGCAUCGGAACGUGCCCAGUAGUGGGGGAUAGCCCGGCGAAAGCCGGCUUAAUACCGCAUACGACCUGAGGGUGAAAGCGGGGGACCGAAAGGCCUCGCGCUAUUGGAGCGGCCGAUGUCGGAUUAGCUAGUUGGUGGGGUAAAGGCUUACCAAGGCGACGAUCCGUAGCUGGUCUGAGAGGACGACCAGCCACACUGGGACUGAGACACGGCCCAGACUCCUACGGGAGGCAGCAGUGGGGAAUUUUGGACAAUGGGGGCAACCCUGAUCCAGCCAUGCCGCGUGAGGGAAGAAGGCCUUCGGGUUGUAAACCGCUUUUGUUCGGGAAGAAAUCCUCUGGGCUAAUACCCCGGGGGGAUGACGGUACCGGAAGAAUAAGCACCGGCUAACUACGUG
rnacentral:rRNA from 1 species